rnacentral:tRNA from 1 species
UGGGCCCUUAAGAGCCCUAAAAA